rnacentral:rRNA from 1 species
GAUGAACGCUGGCGGCGUGCCUAAUACAUGCAAGUCGAACGGAGAUUGUAGCAAUACGGUCUCAGUGGCGAACGGGUGAGUAACGCGUUGGUGACCUGCCCCAAAGAGCGGGAUAACAGUUCGAAAGGACUGCUAAUACCGCAUGUGAUCUCCGGGACUAGAAGCCUGGAGAUGGAAGGGAGAAAUCCGCUUUGGGAGGGACCUGCGUCCCAUCAGCUAGUUGGUAGGGUAACGGCCUACCAAGGCGAUGACGGGUAGGGACCGUGAGAGGGUGGCCCCCCACAAUGGAACUGAAACACGGUCCAUACACCUACGGUGGCAGCAGUAGGGAAUAUUGGUUAAUGGGCGAAAGCCUGAACCAGC